GAGGCUUCAUUCCGCCAUCACUACUAUACAGUGCUGCCAGGUCCAACCUGAAGAGAGGCAUCAAGGUACCAAGGAGGACUACAGGCAGAGAAUAGAAGGGCAUUUCAGCAAGGGAGACCCAUGGAAGGCAUGGCAAGGAGCACUGGGUGGUGGAGGAGCAGUGAUGCUGCAGGACCACUGUGUGAGAGAGGACGCUGCAGAUAAGUGCUGAGUCGACCUUGGUGAGACUUAAAACUUAACAAGCACAAGAAGAACAGGGGGAUGCAAUGGAGCCUGAACUCACCCCGCAAUGAAACAACCCCCUUACCCUGAGUCUCAACUCCGUGGGUUUUGCAAGCCUUUCCAUGUUCCUUAUUUUUAAUA